rnacentral:lncRNA from 1 species
AAUAAAGAAUAAAACAGAAUACUCCUUCAUUCUUCCACAAAAGCAUGUUUUUUUUAAUGUUUUGAAGAGCAUUGCUUGAUUAAUACAAAAUUGUAUUCUUUAAGAAAAGUGAUUUCUUUUAAAUUUUUUAAUAAGUCUACACCAAUAGUAUUGUUGGGGGUUUAUGAAUAUUUCUGUUGAAAAGAUUGAAAUAGUCUCCUUUGUAUUUAUGUUUUUUUAAGUAAAACCAAACCUAUAUGUUUCAUGUAGUAGAAAACCUAAUUAAAGACACUAUUUUAUAUACAUUAUUUUAGAAAAGUUUAAAUAAUAUUUAAAAUUUGUUGAAGUUUACAUUUAUAUUUAUAUCAGUCUAUUAUAUUUGUUAAAUUACCUCUUGUGAGGUUGUUGUAAUUUUGUAUUGCAUUUUAUGAAUAUAUCUACUGUUUUUGAUGUUUUAUGUAAUAUACUUUUUAUAACUGUCUUGUCUACAAUAUUGACAGAUCCCCUACAGUACAUCACAUACUUGGUCGUUUUCUUUUUUUUUGUAUAGGCAAGAACUCAGUUUGUCUUCCCCAAGAAAUAAUGUUUCCUUUUCAAACAAAUCUUGUUGGCUAUCUAACUGCCCUUUUAAUAGAGAAACACAUAUUGAUUAUCUGAAGAAAGAAAAUAUAAUGUCUUAGAAAACUGACAAAAUAAAAUUAACUUGAUAGGAUAGUUCCAUUAAAGAAAAGGGGUGACCAAAUAUGGGGGCAAUUUUUUCCUUUAUAUUCACUGUAUAAAAAAUAUUUGACAACCAUCCAUUUUUAAGUACCUUCCCAUGCAUUGUCCCAUAUUAUGUUUUUGUAAAACAGCCCUUAGUGUUAUCAGUUUAUGAUUGACAUAUAAAACGCCUGUCUAUAUGUAUGUAUAUCAUAACAUUCCAACGACAUUAACAUUGCUCAUUUGACUUUUUCAUACAAUUAUUUUAUUUUAUAUGAAUAUAUUUUUUGGUCAUGAUAACAUUUAUUCUUGAGAUUUGAUUUUAAACUGAAAGCAUAAUGUCAAAAACUGCAAUAAGUUAGUUAUUGAUGGAAUGAGAUGUGGGGUAAAAUAAAAUACGACAGAAACCCAAUAACACAAAAAACCAAUUGACAAUUAGAGAUCAUCAUAUGUUCUUCAACAAUAAACAAGUGUGUAUAAUAUGUUAAGCUCAAAAUAACCCCAAUUUCAGGCAAGUAGGGAUAAGAGGGAAGUUUUGACUGUUAAAUCAUCCAUACCUAGCCUGUGACUUUGUUGUUGCAAAUUGGCGGAUCUUUAAAAAAAAAUGGAAAACGAUAAAUUAAAAAUUUUGACCUAACCAGGGAACACUUUUUAUGCCCCAUUUAUGGGCAUUAUGUUUUCUGGUCUGUGCGUCCAUUCGUCUGUUCCGUUUCAGGUUAAAGUUUUGGUUAAAGUUUUUGGUCGAGGUAGUUUUUGAUGAAGUUGAAGUCUGAUUAACAUGAAACUUAGUAAAUAUGUUCCCUAUGAUAUGAUCUUUCUAAUUUUAAUGCCAAAUUUGAGAUUUUAUACCAUUUUCAUGGUCCACUGAACAUAGAAAAUGAUAGUGCAGAUGGGGCAUCCAUGUACUUGGGACACAUUAUUGUUUAUGGCUUAAGUUGUGUAUAUCUUAAAUAUUAUGUUUAUAAAAUUCCCCAAAGUAAGGUGUUAAAGUUGAUAUUGAAUAUUCAGUUCUUUAAUUAUAUGAAAUGAGUGUUUUGGUCUUUCUGUCCCACCUAUAAGUAGGGGGCAUCAUAUUUUAGGUCCGUGCAUACAUCUGUAUGUUAAUCGAUCUACCUUUGUACCUUAUCAAGUUAAAAUAUAAGUGUGAGUUAGUUUUACAUGAAGACGUAGUCGCAUCAGCUGGAAACUUUGUACACAUGGAUCAUUUUUAUGUUUUUGAAAUAUGUACAGCUAAAUGAAGGUUGAAACCUUAUUCAUACAACAUUGAAAUGUUAGUGUUUGUACAGUUUGAUUCUAUACAUUACAUAUAUUAUUUUUAUUCAUUUGACAAAUUUACUUUGAGCCCUGUAAAACUUAUAUUUUUAAAAACUGUUGUGCAUUUUGAGAUACUAAGACAAUCAUUUUGUAGUGAAAAAUAUUCAUUAGUCCUUGCUUUAGUUGUAGAUUUCUAUUAUGUAGUUAAGCUUUUUUAAAAUUUUCCAACACUUUUGCUCAAUUCUCAGAUUUUUUUUAAUAUCUUUAAAUGUGAUUGUUGCAUUUUAUUGUUAAAGACAAUAAUUAUGAAAUAUUUACCAAAAUAUUAAAGGUUUUUGAUUUUUUUGGCAAUUUAUACUGAUCUGUUAAUAAAAUCAUAUAGUUUUUUAAAAUAGAUUUGAUUUCUGUAAAUUCAGAAAUUAUUGCGAAAAAUUCAACAAUGUUUAAAUCGCAAUAAUAAAUGCAUGCAACAAUUUCUCAGUUUACAGUAUAGAGGGGGGAAAAGGUUAUAAAGCAAUUGAUUGAUUAAGGGAAAUAUUUCAUCUUCAUUUCUAACUGUUUUAUUUAUUUAUAUUUUAGUUUUUUUAAGACAUUUUGUUUUGUAUAAGCCUGACAUGUCACUUUUUGACUUUAAAUAUUUUAUUUUUAUCCCGUCCCUUGAUUAAAUAUCUUCCGUCCAAAUAUUGUAAUUGUGUCUUUUUGCUGUUCCAUUUAUAAUGUUUACCAUAUUUUAAAUGUGAAUGAAAAAUUAAAUAGCAGAUGAUAAUUUAUAUUUUUAAAGCCAUUGAUAACUAUUUUAUUUAGUGUUUUGUCAAUCUGGUUUUAUUUUUUUAUCCCGUCCCUAGAUAAAAAAAAAGUUCCGUCCAAAGACUUUACUAGGUGAACAUCUUUUUUGCUCUUUCAUUUAUAAAUUUUACCAUGUGAAUGAAAAAAACAUUAAAAAAAACCAGAUGCUAUUUCACAUAAAUAAAACCUUUUAUAACAUAUUUAUUAAGCGGGUAUUGUGGUAAGAUUUGUAGUGAUUGAAUACUUUCAUAAUGUGACAUAGAAUCUCAACUGAAUACAUUUAGAGUUUCAGGGAUAUGGGGUAGCUACUAUGUUUAUAGGAUAUGUAUGACAUGAAAGUUGUAAAAAAAAAGUUGAUCAUAAUUGAGGUGAUUUUGCUUCUAUUGAGAAUUUGAAUGAGAUGAAACUUUUUUAAUCCUUGAUUAUUAUUCAGUUUAGGGACGACAUUAAAAGUUCAAUGUAGGAUAAAAAACUUAAUUCACAUAGUUUUUUCACUAACACCCUCACCCCCUCUUAAAUUAAUUUGGGAAAAAUUGAUUUACCAAUAGGGAUAUAUGUAAAAAUUGAUUUUAGAUAUACAAAACUUGUAGAAUUUUAACCCCCCCCCCCCACCCCCAAACUAUUUGAUUUAAGUUUUUUAUCCUACAUAGAUCUUUUGAUGUCGUCCCUUUAUAUGGUACUGUAUUAUGAUUAUCAAGAAUACUGUAGAUUUAUUAUUAUUUUUUGGACAUUAAUGUUCUUGGUUACAAGGAAAUCACAAAUUUGUUAAAUGUUCAACACUGUAUUAAUUUUCCUUAGGAAUGUGUGCAGACCUUGGCAAAGCCUUGAAAUAUAAUAUACACAAAAAGGCAAUAUUUACAAAAUUUACACAAAUUGGUACCUACAAAAUAAAAGAAUCCACAGUACUUGAUCUGAAUACUUAGAGGCUAGUUAUUCAAACAAUUGUCAGCCAUGAGGGUUUGAUGAAAUGGAUUAUAAUUUCAUAACUUUUUUCAGGCAGAAAAUUAAUGUCUAAUUAUAAGAAUAUACCUAACCAAUUAUUCUUGAAAAAUAUUAGGAAACUGCUACUAAUGUUUUAUCAAGAGGAUUUUCUUCAUUGAUAACCUUAUUUGAUGCAAUGUUUUAAAGUUAUAUUUUUUUUUCAAUAUCCAUUUAAGUGAAAAUGAUUAGUUAUUUAAUUUUAUAGCAUAAAUCUAUGUUUUAUUGUACAAAACCACCAUCUUUAUAAACGACACACAUUGUGUUGAAACAUCUUGUAUACAUAAUAUGAACUAUUCAAUAAUCAGCAUAUCAAAUUAGGUAAUAUGUAGUUUUGAUUCCAAGUUAAUUCCAGAUUUGUAUUACUUGGAAUGAAACCAAAUGGAAGUUGAUCAGUUGAUACUUUCCAUUGAUUGGUACAAACAUCUGUCAAUGUUAAGUUACCUACUUAGGUACUGUUAAAAAAGAAUAAAGUGGAUAAUUGGUAUUUGGUUAAACUGUGGCCUUAGAAUUCAUGACUGUCAGUUACAAGCAAAACAUUUGGUCAAUCAUUCCAUGUUAAUGCAUUUACUUUAAUACAUUAUAAUUUUAUUCCCAAUGCUUUAUUCAUUUAGUAAUUCUAACAAUUUUUUAACAGUAAAAUCUUAUUUUCUCCAAGAGUGAAUAAAGGGAAGAUAUUUAUUUGGUUUUACAGUAAAAUCUGAUUUUUUUUUUUGAGAUUGUGUGUGAACAGUGUAAACAGGAUUUGAUAAAUCAAAAAAUAAAUCUGAACAAUUUGUCAUGGCAAGAUUUGUACUACACCUGUAAAAUAAUUUAAAAUUGAAAAAGAAAUCACUGUUUGUUCAACAAACUACAAGUAUUAUUUGCAAGAUUUUUGGAUAACAACAACAUCCACUUAUUACCAUUUUCCUCAAUCCACAAACUUGAAUCCACUAAAAUAAAUAAAUUGACAGUAUGGUGUAUUGAAAGUAAACAUAUUGGACCUCACAGAGAAAGUUUUAAGUCCGCUGUUACAUUUUCUGUGAGAUCUUUUGAAGAAUUGUCCCCCUUUGUAAGAAAAACUACUUGUAUUCUUAUGUUCUAUGUUCUACUAUAGCACUAUCAUAAAUAUGUUUUACUUUGUCAAGAUAUUAUAGUAUCUCAAUGGAUUUGUUAAUUACAUAGAAAUAAAAUCUGUAUAAACCAUAUGUAAAAGUGUAAUCUGAAUUAUUGAUUUUGUUACACAUAUAAUCAGAAUUAAAUGAGUUUUUUUUUUAGUUUCAUACUAAAAUAUAAAUCAUGUUUGUUAUGUAAUUCACAUUGUUAUUUGAUAAUAAAAAUGGAAC